rnacentral:rRNA from 1 species
ACUCAAAGGAAUUGACGGGAACUCGCACAAGCGGUGGAGCAUGCGGUUUAAUUCGAUGCAACGCGAAGAACCUUACCAGGUCUUGACAUCCCAUUGACUCAUCUAGAGAUAGGUGUUUCCUUCGGGACAAUGGAGACAGGUGGUGCAUGGUUGUCGUCAGCUCGUGUCGUGAGAUGUUGGGUUAAGUCCCGCAACGAGCGCAACCCCUAUCAUUAGUUGCUAACAUUAAGUUGAGGACUCUAAUGAGACUGCCGAUGACAAAUCGGAUGAAGGUGGGGACGACGUCAAAUCAUCAUGCCCCUUAUGACCUGGGCUACACGCGUGCUACAAUGGCUAGUACAAAGGGUUGCGAAGCCGCGAGGUGAAGCUAAUCUCAGAAAGCUAGUCUCAGUUCGGAUUGUAGUCUGCAACUCGACUACAUGAAGGUGGAAUCGCUAGUAAUCGUGAAUCAGAAUGUCACGGUGAAUACGUUCUCGAGUUUUGUACACACCGCCCGU